GAUGAACGCUGGCGGCGUGCCUAAUACAUGCAAGUCGAGCGAACAGACGAGGAGCUUGCUCCUCUGACGUUAGCGGCGGACGGGUGAGUAACACGUGGAUAACCUACCUAUAAGACUGGGAUAACUUCGGGAAACCGGAGCUAAUACCGGAUAAUAUUUUGAACCGCAUGGUUCAAAAGUGAAAGACGGUCUUGCUGUCACUUAUAGAUGGAUCCGCGCUGCAUUAGCUAGUUGGUAAGGUAACGGCUUACCAAGGCAACGAUGCGUAGCCGACCUGAGAGGGUGAUCGGCCACACUGGAACUGAGACACGGUCCAGACUCCUACGGGAGGCAGCAGUAGGGAAUCUUCCGCAAUGGGCGAAAGCCUGACGGAGCAACGCCGCGUGAGUGAAGAAGGUCUUCGGAUCGUAAAACUCUGUUAUUAGGGAAGAACAAAUGUGUAAGUAACUAUGCACGUCUUGACGGUACCUAAUCAGAAAGCCACGGCUAACUACGUG
rnacentral:rRNA from 1 species